CUGGGGUGGGGACAGAGUGCAGAAGGGAAAGAAAGAGAGAGAGGGAUACACAGGGACUUGCACUCGAACGGUCAGAUUUCUAGUAAGCCUCAUUGCAAAGGGCAAAGCUAUGAAUGAAUGAACCAGGAAGGAGCAAAACAGCUGGAGAUAGGCAGAGGAAUGGGUGUAAAGCUCUUAAAAAUAUCCAAAGCAAGGACCCUAAAGGGAACUAAAGUGAAGGAGAGGGGUAUUAGUCAUUCCAGGAAGACUGAGCUGUGGGAGGGAAUUUAAGUAGCAUGCCCCGAAAGGGAAGGAGCGGGAGUCUAAGAAAUUAUGUAAGUGAGAAAUAGGAAAGGGGGAACUCCCCUCCCCUCCCAUCACUCACACACUCACUCACACACAGUAAGCUGCUCAGAAGCCUUUUUAACUGGCUGAGAGAAUCUUCCAGGCCCCCAAAACCUGGCCACUCACUGCAUGACAUUUCUGACCACACCAGCUGCAGCUUCCUCGCGGGACUCUCUAAAUAGACUAAAUGCCCCAUGGUGAAGCUGCCUGCAGAAUGAACCCCCGUUUGGGGCCUGGAGCGAUGCAGGGACCGAGCACGAGGAAGAGGAGAAAGACACCUGCAACGUCCCCCAGUGAAGGUAAGGCACCGUGAAGCGGACUCCAUUGCAAGCAGCUGGAGCUGCACAUGCUCACAUGGAUACAGGGGCUGCACCCUGCUCUGGCUGGUCAAACGGAACCAAGUCCGUCUUCCUUGGAGGUUUGGUCCCCUUCAACCAGCUACAGCAGUGCUGAAAUCGUCCGGCCGUUGGAGGAAGACACCUCCCCCACCCAUCAACUCAUCCCCACAGGACUUUCCUCCUAAAUGUGCAUUUGAUUCUUGUUAGCAUGUUCUGCAUACAGCGCACAUGGGAGGAGGGUGCUGAUCCUUAUGGGCAAUGUCUUGAUUAUACCUACUGGGCAAGGUCCUCAGGGGUUAUCUGAGCUACACUCAGAGCACCUGGCCAAGAGGGUGGUGGCAACAGGGGGCUUUCUGCCCCCUUUCCAGUCUCCUGAUCCUAGGGGAAAUCUGGGGGCUACUUCAGCCCCCAGCACAAGUGAGAGCAGCCUUAAGGCUGCUCUAACUUGCAGUGGCCCAGGCUCACUGAACUCCAGCCAAGUCCUUCCAUCCUUCAGCAUGUCAGCAAAAUACUCCCUACGCCCCGGGGACCAAGAGCAACUGGAGUAGAGCUAGCAAGCUCCUACACAAGGGUGAUUCCCAGCAGUACUGGAUUUCCAAUUAGGCACAGUAAGCACAUGCCUUGGGGCACUGCCAUUCUAGGGGCCCCUAAAAGUGGGUUAAAAGUUAAAAAGUUAAUAUAGUAGAAACCUCAGAGAUAGACACCUCAGGGAAUGGAGGUUGUGCGUAACUCUGAAGAGGCGGUUACAGACUUCAGCCACAUGUCGGGUUGGGGCUGCAGUCGCAGGGUUGGGGGGAAGUGUCAGGGCUCCAGGUACUGGUCAGGACUUCUGACUUUUGGGGCACCAAGGCUUCAGGCAGGGGGCUCAGGGCUUCUGCCCCACUGGAGCACUGGGGUUCAGUGCUUUAGACCUGGGGGGAGCACUGAGAUCAGGGCUUCAGUCCUAUGACUUCAUUCCUAGUUUCAGCCUCGCAGGGGGCCCUGGGGCUCCCCAUGUCUCUGCUCCUGGCUUCAACGGGGCUCAGGGCACGCCAGGGCUUGGGGCUUUAGCUACCGGGGUGGGAGAGGAGAGGCAGGGUAGUACUGGGACUGAAACUAGUGCUCCCCUUGUAGCUAAAGCCCCAGUGACCCCUGUGGGCCCCCAAGAGGUUUUUCAGACCCAAAGGCUCCACCACAUACUUUCAGUCUGCGUGACUUGGUAGAGAAUAAAAAAAGUAUGAAGACAAAAGAGGUAUAGUCUCCAUGAGAGCAGAGUGUGUGUUCUCUCACUUACAAGCUGUAUUUAAACAAACUGGCAGCCACUUCCAAGAGCGGCCGAUGCCUAGCAACGUAAGCAUGUGUGGCACACACAAAACAGUUACAUAACCGCAUACCCUGCAACACACACAGAAACACACACACAAAGUUCUCCCUUCACACACACAUGCCGCACAAGUGAUGGAUUCAGAGAGAAAAAAAAUAGCCUGGGAGCUUAUUUAUUUCCCAAGCAUCAAUAGAAGAUGCGGGUUCCCUGAAAAUCAGUGCCUGAAUAUGGAUUUCAAUGCCUAACCUUUGACACACAACUCGGAAAACGUUGGCCAGUGUUCAAAGGUUCAAGUCUGUCAUUAAAUAAAAUAAGGCAUAAGGUACACAAGUCCUUUGUUGGUUUAAUAAAAAAGUAGCAUGUGCAUAA